UACGUAGGGUGCAAGCGUUAAUCGGAAUUACUGGGCGUAAAGCGUGCGCAGGCGGUUUUGUAAGUCUGUCGUGAAAGCCCCGGGCUCAACCUGGGAAUUGCGAUGGAGACUGCAAGGCUUGAAUCUGGCAGAGGGGGGGUAGAAUUCCACGUGUAGCAGUGAAAUGCGUAGAGAUGUGGAGGAACACCGAUGGCGAAGGCAGCCCCUGGGUCAAGAUUGACGCUCAUGCACGAAAGCGUGGGAGCAAACAGG
rnacentral:rRNA from 1 species